rnacentral:rRNA from 1 species
ACGGGGUGCAGCAGGCGCGAAAACUUGGCAAUGCGAGAAAUCGUGACCAGGGAACUCCAAGUGCGUAGGGUAAGACCUACGCUUUUCUUGACUCUUCAAAGGUCUUGGAAUAAGGGGUGGGUAAGGACGGUGCCAGCCGCCGCGGUAAUACCGGCGCCUCAAGUGGUAGUCGCUUUUAUUGGGCCUAAAACGUCCGUAGCCGGUCUGGUGCAUUCGUGGGUAAAUCAACCCGCUCAACGGGUUGAAUUCUGCGAGCACGGCCAGACUUGGGACCGGGAGAGGUGUGGGGUACUCUCAGGGUAGGGGUAAAAUCCUGUCAUCCUGAGAGGACCACCUGUUGCGAAGGCGCCACACUAGAACGGAUCCGACGGUCAGGGACGAAACCUAGGGGCACGAACCGGAUUAGAUACCCGGGUAGUCCUAGGUGUAAACGCUGUGGACUUGAUGUUGGGGGCGCUCCGAGCGCUCUCAGUGUCGAAGCGAAGGUGAUAAGUCCACUGCCUGGGGAGUACGGUCGCAAGGCUGAAACUUAA